rnacentral:tRNA from 1 species
GGGCGCUUGGUCUAGGGGUAUGAUUUUCGCUUCGCAUAUUCCGUGCGUACUUGUGAAAGGUCGUGGGUUCAAUUCCCACAGCGUCCA